rnacentral:rRNA from 1 species
GAUGAACGCUGGCGGCGUGCCUAAUACAUGCAAGUCGAGCGAACAGACGUGGAGCUUGCUCCUCUGACGUUAGCGGCGGACGGGUGAGUUACACGUGGGUAAACUAACUAUAAGACUGGGAUAACCUCGGGAAACCGGAGCUAAUACCGGAUAAUUUAUCCAACCUCAUGGUUCAAUCGUGCAAGGUGGUUUUGCUGUCAUUUUUCGAUGUGUCCGCUCCGCAUUAGCUAGUUGGUUAGGUCACGGCUUACCACGGUAACUAUGCGUAGCCGACCUGCGAGGAUGAUCCGCCACAUUGGAACCAAGACACGUUCCUGACUCCUACAGGAGGCAGCGGUAGGGAGUCGUCCGCAAUGGGCGAAAGCCGGACGUAGCAACGCCGCGUGAGUGAUGAUGGCCUUCGGAUCGUAAAACUCAUUUAUGAGGGAAGAACAAGUGUGUAAGUAACGAUUCACGGCUUGACGGUACCUAAUCAGAAAGCCACGGCUAACUACGUG